GUACUAAGGUAGCAUAAUCAAUUGUCUUUUAAUUGAAGAAUGGAAUGAAAGAAUUAAUGAAAUAUAUACUGUCUCAAUUAUAAAAAUUAAUUUAAAUUUUUAGUUAAAAUGCUAAAUUUAAAUUAUGGGACGAUAAGACCCUAUAGAAUUUUAUAUUAAAUUAUUUGUAAUAAUUAAUUAUUAAAUUAUUAUAAAUAAUUUAAUAUUUAAUUGGGAGGAUUUAUAAAUUUAAUAAACUUUAUAUUAAUAAUUAAACUUUGAUUUAAGAAAAUUUAAUUUGAUAUAGUAGUAUUAAUUAAGAAAAAAAAUUACCUUAGGGAUAACAGCGUAAUAUCUUUUUAAAGUACAAAUUAAUAA
rnacentral:rRNA from 1 species